CUGGAGACUCUGCGGCCUCCCUGCGCAUCCGUUCGGCAGUGGGUCCGGCGCUCAGCUGGAGAGAAGGAGGCCAUGCCUGUUCCAGAAAGAAGUUAUUCUGAGAGAAGGAAAAUAACCACUUAAGACUCAAUACUGAAAUAUGGACUACAUAUAAAAGAUUGUCAUGGAUAAGAUUAAACUGUAUACAGGCACAAAAAAUAACCUCAGGCAGA